UGGGUCUACGCACGUGGUAGCUCC
rnacentral:siRNA from 1 species